GAUGAACGCUAGCGGCAGGCUUAAUACAUGCAAGUCGAGGGGCAGCAUGAUUGUAGCAAUACAAUUGAUGGCGACCGGCAAACGGGUGCGGAACACGUACACAACCUUCCAAUAAGUGGGGAAUAGCCCAGAGAAAUUUGGACUAAUACCCCGUAACAUAACGAUGUGGCAUCACAUUGUUAUUAUAGAUUUUUCGCUUAUUGAUGGGUGUGCGGCUGAUUAGAUAGUUGGCGGGGUAACGGCCCACCAAGUCUACGAUCAGUAGCUGAUGUGAGGGCAUGAUCAGCCACACGGGCACUGAGACACGGGCCCGACUCCUACGGGAGGCAGCAGUAAGGAAUAUUGGACAAUGGACGCAAGUCUGAUCCAGCCAUGCCGCGUGAAGGAUUAAGGUCCUCUGGAUUGUAAACUUCUUUUAUAAGGGACGAAAAAAGGCUUUUCUAAGUCGUCUGACGGUACCUUAUGAAUAAGCACCGGCUAACUCCGUGCCAGCCGCCGCGGUAAAAC
rnacentral:rRNA from 1 species